rnacentral:tRNA from 1 species
GGUGAUGUAGCUCAGUUGGUAGAGCAUCGGACUGAAAAUCCGUGUGUCGGAGGUUCAAAUCCUCUCAUCACCG